rnacentral:rRNA from 1 species
AUUGAACGCUGGCGGCAGGCUUAACACAUGCAAGUCGAGCGGGGUGAUGGUGCUUGCACUAUCACUUAGCGGCGGACGGGUGAGUAAUGCUUAGGAAUCUGCCUAUUAGUGGGGGACAACAUCACGCAAGGGAUGCUAAUACCGCAUACGUCCUACGGGUGAAAGCAGGGGAGCACUUGUGACCUUGCGCUACUAGAUGAGCCUAAGUCGGAUUAGCUAGGUGGUGGGGUAAAGGCCUACCAAGGCGACGAUCUGUAGCGGGUCUGAGAGGAUGAUCCGCCACACUGGGACUGAGACACGGCACAGACUCCUACGGGAGGCAGCAGUGGGGAAUAUUGGACAAUGGGCGCAAGCCUGAUCCAGCCAUGCCGCGUGUGUGAAGAAGGCCUUCGGGUUGUAAAGCACUUUCAGCGAGGAGGAAGGGGUGUGUGUUAGUAGUACACACCUUUGACGUUACUCGCAGAAGAAGCACCGGCUAACUCUGUGCCAGCCGCCGCUGUAA